UUUUCCGAAUUCUUGAUCUGGAAAACGAAAUGGAGGGUGGUGAAGAAAAAACAGUGAAAAUGAAGUUUUAGGCCGAUCGGACCUUCAAUUUGGAGCCUAAUAAGGUGGUUUCUUCUCCAGUGACACGGCAGAAGGCCGCAGCCGCGAAACAGUUCAUUGAGAAUCAUUACAAGAACUAUCAUCAAGGUUUACAAGAUCGCAAAGAAAGGCGGUGGGCGUUGCAGAGGAGGGCGAAAGAGGAGCAGGUAUCAAAUGAGGAGCAAGAGAGAAUGCUGAGGAAUUUGGAGAGGAGAGACAGAAUAUAUGAGAUUGCAGAGGCAUAAAGUUGGGGUUGAUGAUUUUGAGCAGUUGACUAUCAUUGGUAAAGGAGCUUUUGGUGAGGUUAGGUUAUGUCGUGCUAAAGGUACAGGAGAAAUAUUUGCCAUGAA